rnacentral:rRNA from 1 species
UACGAAGGGGGCUAGCGUUGUUCGGAAUCACUGGGCGUAAAGGGCGCGUAGGCGGCCUGGCAAGUCGGGGGUGAAAGCCUGUGGCUCAACCACAGAAUGGCCUUCGAUACUGUCGGGCUCGAGACCGGAAGAGGUCAGUGGAACUGCGAGUGUAGAGGUGAAAUUCGUAGAUAUUCGCAAGAACACCAGUGGCGAAGGCGGCUGACUGGUCCGGUUCUGACGCUGAGGCGCGAAAGCGUGGGGAGCAAACAGG